GGUAAGGUGGCUGAGUAGGCGGUAGACUGUAAAUCUAUUUACGAGAUGAUAUAUCUCCCUUACCA
rnacentral:tRNA from 1 species